AGUUAUAGAUAUAUCUUUUUGCUUAUGUUUUUGGAAAAAUAUAAAGAAAAACAAAAAUAAAACUCGUAUAUAUAGGGUUUUUUCAAAUAUGACUUAAAAUUUCAAGUCAAACACAAAAAUAACCCAUAUUUUUUUUUUGAAACUUUUUUUUUCAUAUUCACCCUAGAAGUUCUAGUUAUUCACGAAAAUGCCAUUACUUUUUUUUUCGAAAAUGAGUCUUUUACCUUAUCAUCCUCAUCUUCACCAAGUAUUUACAAUAUUGCCACUACCAUCAAUACACUAACCACCAUGAACAACCAAUUCGAAGCUCUUAAUGCACCAAAGUUUCGAUUUUUACUCUUCAUA
rnacentral:lncRNA from 1 species